rnacentral:rRNA from 1 species
UACGUAGGGUGCGAGCGUUAAUCGGAAUUACUGGGCGUAAAGCGUGCGCAGGCGGUUUUGUAAGCCAGAUGUGAAAGCCCCGGGCUUAACCUGGGAAUGGCAUUUGGGACUGCAAGGCUUGAGUGCGGCAGAAGGAGACGUGGAAUUCCUGGGUGUAGCAGUGAAAUGCGUAGAUAUCAGGAGGAAUACGAUGGCGAAGGCAGGUCUCU